rnacentral:lncRNA from 1 species
UCUAUAUAUAAAGUGGUAAGAUAUUAUUUUAAUAAAUGGGUAAUUGAAUAUAAAAACAUACCAUAUAAACCGUAUGGUUUGGUUUAAUGUGGUUUGAUACCUUGCUCUAACGCUAAAUUUUCCUAACAGAUGUAACAAUUCAUGGAGAAUAUAAUAUACGUUGGACUAUGUUGAUGGCAUUCAUCGUAAUUUAUCUAGUGAAUAGAGGGUUAUUUAAUAGUUAGUGUGAAAAUUAAUGUAGAGUUUAUACAUCAUCAUUAUAGCAAAUUUUUUAAUAAUACCAAAAACUAAAACUAAAGUUAUUUUUAUAAAAUAAUUCUUCUUUAAUAUCUAAGGGAUUUAUUUCCUCUAGCUAAUUCAUUUUACAGUGGGUUGAAGAUCGAUUUUAAAAUUAAAAAUUUUAAAUG